UCUCCUCACCUCUGUGCAUCUGUUUUUUUUAUUUUAUUUUUUUAAUUUGCAAUUCCCCUGCUGCUUUUACACACUCUCUUCUCAUAAAGAGUUAAGAGGACAAUAAGAGGGGAAAGGUGGGGAAGGACAUAAAGAUACAAGAUGGAAUGUGGCGUGACAUCUAUUCUCUACGGAUGCUGUGGGUGAUGCAAUGCUCACUUGUCGCCAGUGGGUGGCACACUGGAGCUCCUUUAAACUCCGCUGAAGAGACUCGAAGACUCCCAGGCAGAGAGAGAGAGAGAGAGAGAGGGUCUCAUUGAUUGUCAUAACGCUUGCAGACAGGAUGUGAACGCUAUCUGCAUUUGGGCCUAAAGUGACAAAACAUUAAAACAGUUAAAUACAAUAAAUCAUACUCCCCAGAGAUGCUGAUUAUUGCAUUUUUAAUAUGUUUUGCCAAUCUGUCACAGGUUUUGCUCUGACCGACCAAUCAGAGGUCAGAAAAAUGAUGACAUCAUCGAAGGCCAGUUUGCUGGCCCCAUAGAUAUCUGACAGGCCCCGUGAGGAUGAAUUUGAAAUCUGACUGCUUAAAGAAACAUUCCCAUUGCUAAUAUAAUUUAUGUUAGGUCAGCAAGCGCUACUGAUUCUGAAGGCCCUGGGCAGACUAGACUGACAUGGCAGCACAUAGCGGCUGAAAUCUAAUAGGAUGAAAAAUAUAACAUAUACAUAAUGGAAACAGUGCAGCCAAGAGAAAUGCUAAGAAAUGAAGAGGAUAGACUAAAUAAUUAAAUUAAUACAAUUUCAUGGAAGAAAUAUUACAAUUUAGGUUGUAAAUAGGUCAUUGCUUCUGAUAGUGUUUAGGGCAGCGGAGAAGGCCUUGCUGACCCAAUAUAACCAAAAUAGAAUUUAGUGGGGAAAAAAGUGCAUGCACAGUACACAUUAUCAUUAUAAACAUAUACAAUUGCGCUUUUCUAUUUUUUAUAUAGUAGCGUGCAAAUGGUUUGUUCUUGUGCCUAAAGGAAGCAGCAGCCGGUAUAAAAGACAAACAAGGAGGAGACAUGGAAGGAAGUGGGAAUACUUGCGCCACGCACAGCAGAGUGCAUUCAUGUGGACAGGAUGUGUCAAAAGAAAGAAAAAGGGGCAGUCGUGGCCCAAUGGUUAAGAUCAUCGCCUGCCACCGUGGGGGACCUAGGUUCAACACCCCGACUGGACCAUCGGACUCACGGCUGUGGUGUCCUUGAGCAAGACACUGAUACCCCGAAAUGCUCCCCGGGCGCUUCAGCUGCCCCCUGCUCCAGUGUGUUCCACUAACUUGUGUAUGUGUUCGCUGUGAUGGGUAAAAUGCAGAGAACACAUUUCGUGUGCAUGCAUGCAUGCAUGUUCAUGACAAUAAAAGGUGAUUCUUCUUCUUCUUAUUAUUAUUAUUAUUGUGAGCAGCCUAAGGCACACCUGUGUGCUAAACAUACUGCUUAAUCAGCAUCACCACACCUGUGAGGUAGAUGGACUAUCUUGGCAAAGGAGAAUUGCUUACUAGCUAUGGACAGAUUGGUGAACAGUAUUUGAGAGAAAUAAGGUUUUCAUGUCGAAAAAGGGCGCCACGGUGGACCGACUGGUUAGCACAUCUGCCUCACAGUUCUGUGGACCGGGGUUCAAAUCCCGGCCCCGCCUAU